CUACGGGGGGCUCCAGUCGCGGAACUUUUACAAUGCACGCAAGUGUGAUAAAGCAAGCCAAAGUGUUUUUCGUAUAGAAAAACUUUUUCUUAGUGUAAAAACCUAGGAGAAUAAGGACUGGGAAAGACUGGUGCCAGCCGCCGCGGUAAUACCAGCAGUUCAAGUUGCAUCCCUUUUUAUUGGGUCUAAAACAUCCGUAGCUUGCCGUUUAAGUCUCUUGUGAAAUCCUACGUCUCAAGCGUGGGGCUUGCAGGAGAUACUGGACGGCUAGAGAUCGGUAGACGUAAGGAGUACGCCGGGGGUAAUGGUAAAAUAUGUUAAUCCUCGGUGGACUAACAAUCAGCGAAGGCACCUUACGAGGACGAAUCUGACAGUGAGGGAUGAAGGCCAGGGGCGCAAAACGGAUUAGAUACCCCAGUAGUC
rnacentral:rRNA from 1 species